rnacentral:lncRNA from 1 species
UCAGUCUUUCAACAGGCACCAAGCACACCUCUCCCCACAGGCCUGCUCUUCCCUGGGUGGUGCAGCCCUUUCCUGCGGGGCUGAAACAGCGUCAGUCCUUCCCUCUGGGAACACAGGAAGGGGGUAAAAUCAUUGGGAGACAGCGCUGCCUUAGGAUACAAACAUGCCAGAUCUUUCCAGGGGUGUGAGCAAAUAAAAGCCAGACCACAGAGCCCAAAGCAAGCACCUGCAUGGCAUGUCUCUCACCACCCGGCAGGCAGCAGCAGCAGCAGCGAAGGAAAGCCAGAGGACGGAAACGUGGCCCCUGCACGGCCGAGAGGGGCAGGAACGCUUUUGGAAGACUCAAGCACUACCACCGGCGCGAUUACCACCUGUCGGCCGUCUCCAGCUCCGUGUUCCCAGGGGCAUUCGCAGGCUGCGAUAACCUGGCUUUCCACAGCGCAGCCCAGCAGCCGGAGGCGCCCGCGGGAAGAUGGCGCUGUGAGGCCCCGGCGCCGCUGCGGCCCGGCCCCGCCCCGGGCAGCGGCCUGCCCUGCCCUCUGCCCCGGCACGGCCCCCGGCUGCCCCGGCACGGCCGCGGGCCCCGGCUGCCCCUCGGCUGCGCCGGCCUGGAGGAACACAAGCUCUGCGGCAACUUCGGCAGGCCGGUUUGAGAAUUUAAACUGCCAUUCCGCUUCCUUCCCCCCCCGCCCCUUUUAACGCUGUUAACUCCUUGAGCUCAGGAAAGCAUUUCCGAAGAGCCAAUUACUGCACCUGGGUUUUCACAUGGAGAAAACCUGACACUUCAUGCUGAAAGACAGUUUUUUAUAUCAUCCUUUUAUUUCCCUCCCCUGCCCAGCAGUGCACGUUUCAAAGAGGAGUUUCCGGGUUAUAAACUUCUCAAGUCAAGUCUGAGUGGCCUCGGCUUAACCCAAAGUCUAUGUAUAGACUUCUAGGUUUUGAACAUUAGUCUGAUUUUCUGUUUAGGGCUCUUUUAAAGGCUGAAAGUGUAAACAGCUACUAGGAACAAAGAAUGAGAUUAGAUAUCCGGAAGCAUUUACAAUUAGUUGCAGUUGAAUAUAGAUAGAGACUUAAAGGGUUUUUUUAUUAGCAUUCAUAAGUCACCAUAUCCUCCCACUUCUAUACGGACAGUCUUCGACUUGGAAGAUGUAUUGACAAGAGUGCAAAGCUAGCCAGUCAAGGGGAAGACAUUAAUUUAUCUUUCAUACAAAGAAUCUAGCACAUCUGAAAACAAACAAACAGAACAACACCCCCUCUGGAAGAAAAUAAAAAAGGCAGAAAGGAAAGAAAAAAACCUCA